rnacentral:rRNA from 1 species
AUUGAACGCUGGCGGCAGGCCUAACACAUGCAAGUCGAGCGGAUGAAGAGAGCUUGCUCUCUGAUUUAGCGGCGGACGGGUGAGUAAUGCCUAGGAAUCUGCCUGGUAGUGGGGGAUAACGUUCCGAAAGGAACGCUAAUACCGCAUACGUCCUACGGGAGAAAGCAGGGGACCUUCGGGCCUUGCGCUAUCAGAUGAGCCUAGGUCGGAUUAGCUAGUUGGUGAGGUAAUGGCUCACCAAGGCUACGAUCCGUAACUGGUCUGAGAGGAUGAUCAGUCACACUGGAACUGAGACACGGUCCAGACUCCUACGGGAGGCAGCAGUGGGGAAUAUUGGACAAUGGGCGAAAGCCUGAGCCAGCCAUGCCGCGUGCGUGAAGAAGGUCUUCGGAUUGUAAAGCACUUUAAGUUGGGAGGAAGGGCAGUAAGUUAAUACCUUGCUGUUUUGACGUUACCGACAGAAUAAGCACCGGCUAACUUCGUGCCAGCAGCCGCCGUAACAC